UUUGUUUUCUUCUAAAGUUUUAUUGUUUUAGGUCUUACACUUAACAUCUUGUAUCCCCUAAUUUUUAUAUAUGGUAUUAGGUAAAACAUCUGGUGUCUUAGGGAAGAACUCCUGUUCACCCAACAUGGUCCAUGUACCUGCUCCUUGCACCAAUUUGAGUGACUAGGUGAUGGAUGCUGCCUUUGGCCAGACCUGAGUCAUAUGUCCACUUCUGAAGGGCAUGAACCAGGCAGCAGCACGGACCAAAAGCUAAGCUGGGAUAAAUGAGGAAUUGCUUCGCCCUAGACUAAUAUGAGGCUGGCACCACGGACCAGGUGCCACUCUACCUACCCAAGUCAGAGACCAGAACUCAUUUAUUAAUUCUAAUACUUCAGGUUUUUUUUAAAAAGUAGGUUCUUUAGUAUUUUCUAGAUACAGAAUCAUCUGCAAAUAGAUAUACUUUUACCUCUUCCUUUCCAAUCCGGAUGCCUUUUAUUUCAUUUUCUUCCCUAACUGGCAAGAAUCUCCAGUAGAAUGUUGAAAAGAAGUGGUUAGAGCAGACAUCCUUGUGUUGUUUCUAAUCCCAGGGAGAAUGCGUCCAGGCUUCCAUCAUUAAGUAUGUUGUUAGUGGCAGUUUUUGUCCAACUCCUUUAUCUAGUUGAGGGAGUUCCCUUGCAUUUAUAGUUCAUUGAGUGUUUUUAUGAUGAAAAGGUAUUGGGUUUUGUCAAAUGCUUUAUUCUGUGUCUACUAAGAUGAUCAUGUAGUUUGCUUUUGUAUUCUAUUGAUAUGUAGCAUUUAUGAUAAAAGUGAGAAAUAUUAGUGUUAAAAUACGAGUAACUAAAUAAAGUGACUAGACAAAAGAUGUCCUCCAAACACAUUUCUAAAAAGAAAAAAAUCAGUCAAGAAUCAUUCUAUUUUCCUUGUGGUAGAGAAAAAGAAAAUUUAAUAAAAAAACUUUUGAGAAGUUUCUUAA